UUCUAGCUUUUCGUUGUCAUUUCUUUUUGAUUUGUUUUAUCAAGCCUAUGUUUUAGGCCUCUUAGUAUUUUUUAAUAGUGUUUCUUCUCAUUUUGUUGCCUUCAUUUCAAUAAUGAUUUCUUCUCCUACACAUCCCUGCAAUUGGUCAUGUAUUUUUGCAAAUUAUAUUGUAUUUGACAGGUCUAUUUUGGAAUUAAUGAUUGUUAUUUCCUUUUUUUGUUGUUAUUGUCAUUAGGAAUGGAAAUAGAGUAAGAAAUAUUUAUUCCACCAAUAUGCCCAUUACUUCAAAGAAAAUUUACAUUUAUCUUUUGUCAAAAUAUUGAAAUAAAAGAUGCAAAAUAAAAAAGAGCAUUCCACUUCUACUGGUGAUAUAGUACUCUAUAUUAGACUAACUCUAAGAACCACAAUGAAAGCUAAAAAAAAAAAAGAGAAAGGGAGAGAGAGGAAGGGAGGAAGGGAGAGAGAAAAUGAUGGAAACAGAGGGGAAACGAUAUCUCAUGUUUUCUUUUUUCUUUUAUUCUCUUGCUUGCAGGCUGGAUUGAGCAUAUUCUAUGAACUGGACACUCUUAUUUCUUCUUCUGUGAUUUGCUGGUUGCCAACAGUUGCAUACUGCGGUGACACACACUAGUUUGAGGCGUCGGUAGUGAAAACUGCAUUUAUGGCAUUCACCUGACAGAUGAUGCUAUGAAUUCGGGGAUUCUAUUUGGUGUUCGGAAUCAAGGGGUAAUGCCAAGGUGCUACACAACUAACAAUAAUUACGAGAAGAAAAAUGAGGAUCAGUUUCACAAAUGAUAAAUUAGAAAAGGUUUUGGACUUGAAGCCCAAAUGAAGAAUCACCUUAUUCCCUCUCCCUCGACUAAAGAUAACCCUCUUCUACUAAGUGCCAGGAUUACCUAAUCAGAAUAUGAAGAAGCUGCAUCGCAGAGACUUGAAUCAUAUGGGUACAUGAAUCAUAUAAGGUACAAUAAAACAAGAGACCAAGACAUGAGUC